UUAUGGCCAUAUCAAGUUGAAACAUUAGUUCACAUAAGAUCACUGAAGUUAAGCAACAUAGAGCCUGGUCAGUACCUAGAUAGUUGACCAUUUAGGAAUACCAGAUAUUGUAAG